UGUAAUCUGUGUGUUUGUGUGUACACCACAAACACACUGUAUUGUUUACACAUAAUAUUACUGGUCCAGUUUUGUGAGCUUCACAAAUUGUCUAGCCAACUUGUAUUAAUGUCCCUCAAGAAAAUAUUUAAUAAUAAAAUCUUUUUUUGCAAUAAAAUCUCUUU